CGAACAGCUGAGUCACUGGAGGUCUUCAAACCACAUCUAAAGACCUUCCUCUUCCUAAAAAACUGUAGUCAAGACAUCAGCACAUUCUGAAAAGCAGGAGCAGAAACCAGCACACACGCCGUCAUUGCUAGCUAUAUAAUCCAAGUCCAAAAACAGUGACAAUGUUCAGAACCAGAACAACAUGACAAGAGAACUGAGAAAACAAGGAAGAUAAGGAAGCUAAGCAUUGGGUUGUUUCUUUGCAAGGUCACUUUUUAAAAACGUACAUGCAAAGACACGAGAACGGGGAACAGGACUGUAAGAGUGCUUCAUGGAGCUGCGGUAUUAGAAGCUAGAAUGUACAGCUCCUGGAGAAGACAUGAUGGACAGCAUGAAGUAUGAAGAGAACUUUCCAGAAACUGCUGUGGUAGGUGUGUAUUUACAGUAUGUGGGUUUUUUUUUUUUGUGUGUGUGUGUGUGUGUAAGUAUGGGAAUGUAUAUUCG
ensembl:lncRNA